UAAGUUUGCCACCACAGCUAGCCUCAACCCGGCUACUCUACUCCUGGAAUCUGACAAACAAAUGCCCAUCCAUGAUUGCCUCGAGACUCUUGAAAACUUGAGGGGAGGACGUCCGGACUUGACUUGAUGGACCAGGCCCUCCCCUGCACAGAGAUAACGUUCUAUACUGAUGGGUGCAGUUUCGUUCCUGAUGGUGUAUGGUUUGAUUCCAAGACCCUGGAACCUCGUUGGAAGGGACCAGUUCCUGUUGUCCUGUCAACUUCCUUGGCGGUGAAGGUAGCUGGACAUUCUGCCUGGAUACAUCGCAACCAUCUGAAAACAGGACCCCCCUCCGACAGACGUCAAAAAGGACAAAUGGAAGGUUAUCAGCCAACCAGGCGACCAAAAGCUAAGAUUGGAGCGGGUUGGAGAUGUUUCACCUUCAUGAUAAUAUUCUCUGGGACAUUGGCAGCAUUGCCCCCAAGAGGACUAGAUCACACAAAAAAAUGUAUGGAUUCAAUUGGCAAACUCGCUUAACUUGUCUGAAUUCUGCUGAAAUGUUGAUGUAAAUUUCCAUUAUGUGCUGGGAAGCUGUCUCAUUCUGGUAUGCACCUCUUUAGAAUUAAUACGACCCUAUACCCUAUUUAAAGACAUCCCAGGAAAAAAUUCUUACUUACCUGGAUAGUUAUAAUUGGGGGCAUGACACCUGCCGUAAACCUAAAAAUGCUGUCAAAUUAUAUACACCCAAGGUAAUUAUGUCAAACAAAACUGAAUGUGCUAUGUAUGAAAAUUGUACAACCAAAUGUCUGAGGAUAAAACGGUCAAAAGGGAUGUCCUGCCAUAUAAAACAAAAAAUUGUGUGUAACAAUUGCCAUAUCUCCCUGCCCACAGGAUGGUUUUAUACCUGUGAAGAAAUAACCUUUAAUUAUAUUCCAGCAAAUUUAACCAAGACCCGUUGCUGUCUGAGUCGUCUAGCUGUAGUGUUGCCAGACAGAACUGAUUUGACUGUGCCUAACAGAACUAAACGUUGUUCACCGUACACUGCACCAGGAUGCGAUGACGACUUAGGUCUGUUAACAGAUGCUGAAGUAAUAACCAUGAUAGCAUCUUUUGUUGCCCUGCCUUCUAUAGGAGUCCAUGCUGAAAAGGCAGUAUGAAAAUUAGCUUGCAAGGUGGUCAAAGGGUUAAAUGCUACCUCAUCAGCCUUGGCAUUAAUUAACCAAGAGUUACAGGAACAGAGACAGGCAAUCUUAGAUAAUAGAGCAGCAAUAGACUAUUUGUUGCUCCUCCACCACCAAGGUUGUGAAAGAGUAAAAAAUAUGUGUUGUUUCAAUCUUCCCGAUAAUG
rnacentral:lncRNA from 1 species